UACCCGCAGCACAAGUGGUGGUCAUUAUUAUUGGGCCUAAAGCGUCCGUAGCUGGCUUGUUAGAUGCCUGGUAAAUCGAUGCGCUCAACGUAUCGAACUCCGGGUAGACCGGCAAGCUUGGGACCGGGAGAGGCGUGAGCUACUCGAGGGGUAGGGGUAAAAUCCUGUAAUCCUUCGGGGAAGGACCAGUGGCGAAGGCGUCACGCUAGAA
rnacentral:rRNA from 1 species